CUACGAUAAAGGCAAAACCGGGGUAACCCGGCGACGCAAAACCAGUGCCCAGGCAGAGAUGCGGGGGUCGAACGGUUACCGAA
rnacentral:ncRNA from 1 species